UGUUUCCAGCUGCUUGCGCUGUCUGCUGAGCCGACUGGCUGGGGAUGCCUAAGCAGAGGUGCCUGGGAGAGCUCUCGGGAAGGCAGAUCUUGGGAAGAACUUCCUGGGGGACUGCCUGAGGACUGAGGCAGGGAGGACUGUCACAGGAGGAGUGAGCCAGGAUACGCUGCUCCUCCCACAUGGAGAAUGGCAAGUUUGGGAAAGGAGCUGGAGCAGGGCUAGGGCAGUUCCGCUCUGCUCAGAGAUUCAGCUAAGUGGUGUGGCUGGAGUGGCAGAGGGGCCACGACGGCUCUAGAAACCUUAAGAAGCCCCGAGGGGGACAGGAGUGGGUGGUUAGGUGGAGCACUAGUGAGCGAGGGCUUGGAAGGGAGCAGGGGCCAGGGGAGUCUGACUUCUUCACGAAGGACGCGGCCUUCCCUCUCUACCUUCCUCCUUGUCGCGUUUUCAUUGUUUCUUGUAGGUACCACCUUUUCCAGGCAAGAAAGGCGGCCAUGAAUCCGUCCAUAGCGGUCUAGAUGCCACUAGAAUCCCUGGAUCUUACUGGCUCUUGCUAAGAGCAACUGAAGCCUCAGAAUCCAACAAAGCCCCAGCCUAGAGCGGGAGCAGUGAGGAGUGUGAGGCAGAGGGCGGAGCCUUGAAGCACCCCUCCCCCAUAGCUUCUUCACUAUUCGCCCCAGAAGCGAGUCAGGGUACUUAGUGUUUAAGGAGGAGGGCUUGGACAGGUUACAUAAGUUUCACUUCCACUCUGGGCCCCUUAACUGCUCAUUGUGCGGCACAGGCAAGCACGGUGAUUUCUUUGGUUCCCUCACCUGCAAACUGUGAGUAAUGAUCGGACUGGUUACCUAACCCUGCAGAAGGAACUCCUCAACGCUCAGCAGCUGAAAAUCACACACAGUGGUCACCUUAAUUCCUGGGGGCUGGGGUUCGGGCCCAACUCAGGCAAGCCCCUGCUGGACUCUCACCCAGCUGCUGCCUCAGUAGAAGGCCACACGGGAGAAGAGUCCACAGGACUCAGUUUCUCAAAGGCUGUGAGACAGGUCUACAGCGUUUUGAAGCUUACAGAUUUCUUAGAAAUGACAACGAAGGUUACUAGCUGUGCAUCUUUGGGGAAAUGACCUAACCAUUCUGAGCUUCAGAUGUCUCACCCACAAAGGGAGACUAACCAUCUCUGCCACAGAACUGUGUGAGGUGUGGCUCAAGAUGUGAGCGCUCAGCUGCUGCUCCAGAUGCCUGCCAUCUGUUAUCUUGGUUCUGCUGCCAUGGACUUUGAUCCUCUGAAACUGCAAACUCCAAAUAAACUUUUUUUAAAAAGCCCGUCCACUUGAGGAAGAGACCAAGAAGAGAAAAAGGAGAAGAAAUCUUGAGUUGGGCAGUCGUGAUGAGCUUUCUGGGACGAAGCAAGCAUGAGAGGAGGCGCUUGGAAAAUCUGACUGAGAGCUAAGAAGAGGUAGGGAGUCCUUGAGAGAAGACCUGCAAGGAUCUAAGACCCAGAAAUAGGCCCAGCUCCCCAACCCCUGGCCGCUGUAGCUUCAGGACAGCCGACAGGGAGGAGCCUGGGGCCGGUGCCUCCAGCAACAGCACCGCAGACAGCGCCCUUCAGCGCCCCUGACUUCAGCACCACGGACAGCACACCCCGCUGGGGUCGGGGCCUCAGCCCAGCCCCGCCCUGGAAAUAGCUCUUUGGGGCAGUUGGAAUGCAGGCCUGCGAGCCCGCUGAAUAGAUCAAUUAUUUUUCAGAACAUGGUUUUGAUCCCGAUGUUACCUCUCAGGAUCACUGAGUGGAAAGGGCUCGCGGAGAAAAUGGCAUUUUUUAUCACCCUGGCAAAAUGCUCCUGCGCUGAUGAGAUGGGGCGCCCGGCGAGCGCGCGCGCGCACAUGUGGUACAUAACUAACCAGAAGCAUAAUCUUCUAAAUUGAAAGCCAUAAUGUUUGCUGUUGGAGCUAAAUAUUAACAGGGCGUUGUCUCCCCCAACGACCCUCGGGAGGCAGCUGGCUUAGCGGGAGGCUGGCGUCAUAUUCAAGCAACUUGAUUAAAUUCCUUUCUGCCAUCAGAAUUAAGAAAUGAAUAGUUUUAUGAGAGUCAUGCCACAGAGGACAGGAAAAUGAAAUGUUCAGGAGAGAGAGCAGGCGGGUUGCCUGCUCUGUGUUCCUGGUGGGAGUGCUGUCAAUCUACCUAGAAGGGGUGGGCUCAGGACUGGAUAGAUCUUUAAAUGAUAGGCAAUCUUGACUCUUAGGGUCAUCCUGGUACAUAUCUCCUCUCUGGUCAUCAUAAGACACACCAUGGAGCCACCUCAGGAGAUCUCUCAGUUGUUCACUGGAGAGGCAGCAAAAUGUGUAGCUGACGUCAUAGCCUCUGGAGCUACAAUCACUGGAUUCAAAUCCCGUCGCUAACUCUCCCUAGCUGUGUGAUCUUAGGCAAAGUAUCUAACUAACCUUUCUGUGCCAAAGCUUUUUCUAGUUACGAAAUGAAUUUAUUCCAGUACUUAC